UACAUGAGUGGCGAGCGUUAUCCGUAUUUAUUGGGCGUAAAGGAUGCGUAGAUGGUAAAAGAAGUUGUAAUCCACUAUAACAGUUUAUUGGGUCGAUUUACAAUACCUUUUUACUAGAGUUUUUUUUAAGUGUAUGACAUCUGUAAACUAGUGAUAAAAUACUUUGAGUUUAUAGGUAUCUUCAAUUACGAAAGUAAUAUGCUGAAAAAAACUGACAUUGAGGCAUUAAGUAUGGGUAUCAAAUAGG
rnacentral:rRNA from 1 species